rnacentral:rRNA from 1 species
AUUGAACGCUGGCGGCAUGCCUUACACAUGCAAGUCGAACGGCAGCACGGGAGCAAUCCUGGUGGCGAGUGGCGAACGGGUGAGUAAAGUAUCGGAACGUGCCCAGUCGUGGGGGAUAACGUAGCGAAAGUUACGCUAAUACCGCAUACGAUCUAUGGAUGAAAGCGGGGGAUCGCAAGACCUCGCGCGAUUGGAGCGGCCGAUAUCAGAUUAGGUAGUUGGUGGGGUAAAGGCUCACCAAGCCGACGAUCUGUAGCUGGUCUGAGAGGACGACCAGCCACACUGGGACUGAGACACGGCCCAGACUCCUACGGGAGGCAGCAGUGGGAAAUUUUGGACAAUGGGCGAAAGCCUGAUCCAGCCAUGCCGCGUGCAGGAUGAAGGCCUUCGGGUUGUAAACUGCUUUUGUACGGAACGAAAAGGUUUGGCCUAAUAAGCUGAGCUCAUGACGGUACCGUAAGAAUAAGCACCGGCUAACUACGCGCCAGCCGCCGCGGUAA